UCGGAUUGCAGGCUGCAACCCGCCUGCAUGAAGCCGGAAUCGCUAGUAAUCGCGGAUCAGAAUGCCGCGGUGAAUACGUUCCCGGGUCUUGUACACACCGCCCGUCACACCAUGGGAGUCGGGAAUGCCCGAAGUCAGUGGCCCAACCGGAAGGGGGGAGCUGCCGAAGGCAGGCCCGGUGACUGGGGUGAAGUCGUAACAAGGUAUC
rnacentral:rRNA from 1 species